rnacentral:misc_RNA from 1 species
ACACCCUCAAGCGCUGCUUGGUGUUGGGCGUCUGUCCCGCCUCCCGGGCGUGGACUCGCCUUAAAGCGAUUGGCGGCUGGUAUGAAGGCCUGGAGUGCAGCAGGAUUGCGCUCCUCGUCCGGAGGCCGGCUCCCACAAGCUACCCCCAUCAU